ACUUUCUGACCCAACAGUCCCCCAGCGCCGGACGCGCCGCGCCCUGGCGGCUCUAGGGACCCCCCCCGCGCCUGCACUUAGCCCCGCGCCCGAGUCCACAGACAAACGAAUUUAAAGGAGCAACCGAGGAGGCACCUGCGAAAGAAAGCCCACACACAGGUGAAUUUAAAGGAGCAGCCCUGGUGUCACCUAUCAGUAAAAGACUAUUUGGAGUUUUCCUCGUCUUACUGGAUGUCACUCUCGUCCUUGCCGACCUAAUUUUCACUGACAGCAAACUUUAUAUUCCUUUGGAGUAUCGUUCUAUUUCUCUAGCUAUUGCCUUAUUUUUUCUCAUGGAUGUUCUUCUUCGAGUAUUUGUAGAAGGGUCAACGCCACCGCCUCUGCACUGCCUUCCUGGCCAUCAUCCCAGGUAGAGCUGCCCUCUUCCUUCUCCGCAGCUUUUCUCAUCCUGCAAAGCAAGGGCCUUUGAGGGGAGGGACUGCACCUGAGUACAGCACCCAGGCGUCUUCUGCAGCCCACAGAAGGUUCAGCUUAGGGCUGGACGCAGUGGCUCACACCUGUAAUCCAAGCACUUUGGGA
ensembl:lncRNA novel transcript